AAUGGCUCAUUACAACAGUUAUAGUUUCUUUGGUAUUCGUUUUCCAUGGAUAACCGUGCUAAUUGUAGGGCUAAUACAAGUUCGAGGCCUUUUGGCGGCGUUUAUUAGUUCUAAAACCAUCCCUUUU
rnacentral:rRNA from 1 species